CAACAUAUCUGAGGUGAAAGUAGCCUGCUGGAUUGUCUAUGAAAAAUCCUUUACUACAGAUGAAAUCUGUAGCUUAGUACCAUCUGCACUACCACAUUUAAAGGAUCCCACCCCAUAAUCUUCAACCAAAUUUCUUGGCAACAUUAAUAUCCAAGAAAUUGUGUGUACUCCCACUAUCUAUUAAGACAUGAAUAGGCCUUUUGUUAUGAUAACCAG
rnacentral:lncRNA from 1 species